AGCUCCAAUAGCGUAUAUUAAAGUUGUUGCAGUUAAAAAGCUCGUAGUUGGAUUUCAGACGGGGUGCGAGGCAGUCUUGCCAAAAUAGGCUCGCACUGUCUCCCCUCAUCUACACUCUCUCGAUGGACCGUGCUGUUUACUUUAUUGUACGCGGCAUCAGGGACUCGGGACGUUUACUUUGAAAAAAUUAGAGUGUUCAAAGCAGGCUUUCAAGCCCGAAUACAUGAGCAUGGAAUAAUAGAAUAGGACUGCGGUUCUAUUUUGUUGGUUUCUCGCGAUCGCAGUAAUGAUUAAGAGGGACGGCUGGGGGCAUCCGUAUUUCGUUGUCAGAGGUGAAAUUCUUGGAUUUACGAAAGACGAACAAUUGCGAAAGCAUUUGCCAAGAAUGUUUUCA
rnacentral:rRNA from 1 species